GAGAAGGUGCAGAAGUCUGGUUAUCUCUCAGAACACUUGGAUUACAAUAUGCUGAAAGAUUUUCUACAGACUGGAGGCCGUCGCUGCUGAGAUUGAUGAAACAGUGGAACAUUUUACGAUCAUUUGCUUUGAAGAUCACAACAAAUGUGCUGCUGGGACAACAGAGAAGAUCGUCAGCACUUUGGCCUUCUGAGAACAUAAAGACAGAGACGAAAGCUUCAGAAAGAUCCCAGAAGGCCACAGCAUCAUCCACGAGUCAGUUCUGAAGCUCAAUUCUGUUAAAAGUAAUUUCAUGCUUUUGGGGGCAGAAAAUGCAAUGAGGAUAUCCAUUCAAAUUCAAAUAAUGAUGAAAUCAAUAAACCGAAAAACUGAUUCAUGGUUAUUUAUGCCAA